UUUUCCUCUGCACAGGUUUUGAUAAAUCUCCCCCAUAGAGAUCAUUCCCAGUAUGAGAUUUAUUCCCCUGCAGUCCAUACAUCCCCAGCCCGUGCACCUUCUCAUCCUCCCCUUCAGAUAACACUUAUCUUCUCUGUGUUCCUUCUCCUGUGCAGACCUGCGUCCUUAGAAUACAGAGCAGGGGGGAGGGGAGGUGAGGAGCUGUGUACUCAGAUGGAUGAGAUGAGGGGGCGUGGAUUAUUUUUCUCAUGCAGACAGAGAGAAAAAAAAAGCUGUGACAUCUUGUCCACAACAAACUCAGAACUGUGGAGAACAGUAAAAGAAAACCCUCUGAACUACAGAACUUCCUGCCCAACAAACAGGUGCAGCAAUACAACAGGUACGAUAAUGGAACAGGUGGAGCAGCAAUGUUCAAAGCGAUUUAGGGUAGCAGGAGCGGGAGGUAUAGAUUGUAAAGAUUGUAAAGCAAGGAGCUGAAGAAGUCUAGAUAGCAAACUCUGCACAGAUACGUUUUGGCUAGAAAAGAAAGAGGAAAGAAGGGAGAAAAUGGAGACUAACCCUUUGAAGCAGGAUCAAAGAAAUAUCUUCUCCCGCCGCACAGACACCUGUGCAGAACACUUCUGAUAGUGUAAACCUCCAGUAGAGACAGUGCUCAGAGGCAUCAGUAUCCUGCAGCAAGCCUUAUUAUUAGAAUCAAUAGGAGUUUCGCAGCAGAGACACCCUGCUGGCCUGGGAUGCCUAUUAGACCGAGCACAGGGCUCUGUCUGCUGAUGAAU